AGCCCAAACCGCGCGUGUUACGGCACGCGCGGGGUUGAAGGACCGCGACACCGCAAGAAACGCUGCGAGCAGAACGCGCUGGAAAGCGCGGCCGUAGAGCAUGAAAGCUGCGUAUGCGAAGCAGUGUGAAGCGUAGCGGCAUCCUGAGUAGCGCGGGGCACGUGGAACCCUGCGUGAAUCUGCCGGGCCCAUCCGGCAAGGCUAAAUACUCCCGAGAGACCGAUAGCGAACCAGUACCGUGAGGGAAAGGUGAAAAGCACUUCGGACAGAAGAGUGAAACAGACCCUGAAACCGUGCGCCUACAAGCGGUCGGAGCACGCAAGUGUGACGGCGUGCCUUUUGCAUAAUGAACCUACGAGUUCCCCUGCUUGGCGAGGUUAAGCGCGAUAAGGCGCGGAGCCGGAGCGAAAGCGAGUCUGAAAAGGGCGUCAAGUCAUGCGGGGGAGACGCGAAACCAAGUGAUCUACCCUUGUCCAGGAUGAAGUCCGGGUAACGCCGGAUGGAGGUCCGCACCGAUAAGCGUUGAAAAGCUUCCGGAUGAGGCGAGGGUAGGAGUGAAAGGCCAAUCAAACUUGGAGAUAGCUCGUACUCCCCGAAAUGCAUUUAGGUGCAGCCUCGCGGUAAUUCGGCAUGAGGUAGAGCGACUGAUAGGAUGCGGGGGCUUCACCGCCUGCCAAGUCCUGACAAACUCCGAAUGCAUGCCGCAUGUUCCGCGGGAGUGAGGGCACGGGUGCUAAGGUCCGUGCCCGAGAGGAGAAGAAUCCUGACCGCCGGCUAAGGCCCCCGAGUGGCGCCUGAGUUAAUCUAACGAAGUCCGGCCCCCGAGACAGCUAGGAUGUUGGCUUGGAAGCAGCCAUUCAUUUAAAGAGUGCGUAACAGCUCACUAGUCGAGGUGCCGGGCGUGGAUAAUAAUCGGGUAUAAGGCGCCCGCCGAAGCCGCGGGAUACAGAGUAUCGGUAGGGGAGCAUUCCAUCGGCGCCGAAGGCGCUCCGUAAGGGGCGCUGGAGCUUAUGGAAAAGCAAAUGUAGGUAUAAGUAACGAUAAAGGGGGUGAGAGGCCCCCUCGCCGAAAGACUAAGGUUUCCUGAUCAACGCUAAUCGGAUCAGGGUAAGUCGGGGCCUAAGGCUCAGCCGCACGGCGAGGCCGAUGGACAAACGGUCAACAUUCCGUUACUGGCGUCCGGUGUGACGCGGUGACGCGGCUGUGACACUGCCGCCCCCUGACGGAAUAGGGGGUUUAAGGGUGUAGGAGCUGAUUCCCGCAGGCAAAUCCACGGGAAGAUCCGAACCUGAAAGUACGGCGCGCCCUCCGGGGCAAGCCGAGAGCGCAGGUAACCAUGCCGCCGAGAAAAACCGCUAAACUCCAGCCGGACGGCACCCGUACCGCAAACGGACACACGUAGUCGGGUUGAAUAUACUGAGGCGCUUGGGUUAAUCACGGUUAAGGAACUAGGCAAACUGACCCUGUAACUUCGGGAUAAAGGGUCCCUCCUCGCAAGAGAGGGCGCAGAGAAUCGGUCCAGGCAACUGUUUACCAAAAACACAGGGCUGUGCUAAUUCGAAAGAAGCCGUAUACAGCCUGACACCUGCCCGGUGCCGGAAGGUUAAGAGGAGAGGUCAUCGCGAGAGAAGCCUUGAAUUGAAGCCCCGGUAAACGGCGGCCGUAACUAUAACGGUCCUAAGGUAGCGAAAUUCCUUGUCGGGUAAGUUCCGACCUGCACGAAUGGUGUAAUGAUCCGGACGCUGUCUCAACCGUGAUCCCAGUGAAAUUGUAGUAUCGGUGAAGAUGCCGAUUACCCGCGAUGGGACGAAAAGACCCCGUGAACCUUUACUGCAGCUUAGCAUUGGACGUGGGCACGCGUUGUGUAGGAUAGGCCGGAGGCAAUGAGCCGCGGGCGCCAGCCUGUGGGGAGCCGCCGUUGAAAUACGGCCCUUCGUUUGUCUGUGUCCUAACUCCGGGUAUGGAGGACAUUGCUUGGCGGGCAGUUUGACUGGGGUGGUCGCCUCCAAAAGCGUAACG
rnacentral:rRNA from 1 species